UACGGAGGGAGCUAGCGUUGUUCGGAAUUACUGGGCGUAAAGCGCGCGUAGGCGGCUUUGCAAGUCGGGUGUGAAAUCCCCAGGCUUAACCUGGGAACUGCAUUCGAGACUGCAUUGCUAGAGUAUGGGAGAGGGAAGUGGAAUUUCCGGUGUAGCGGUGAAAUGCGUAGAUAUCGGAAGGAACAUCAGUGGCGAAAGCGACUUCCUGGACCAAUACUGACGCUCAUGUGCGAAAGCGUGGGGAGCAAACAGGG
rnacentral:rRNA from 1 species